GCUGGAUUCGCUAGUAAUCGCGCAUCAGCCACGGCGCGGUGAAUACGUUCCCGGGCCUUGUACACACCGCCCGUCAAGCCAUGGAAGCCGGGAGUGCUUGAAGUACGCGACCGCAAGGAGCGUCCUAAGGUAAAACCGGUGACUGGGGCUAAGUCGUAACAAGGUAGC
rnacentral:rRNA from 1 species